AUUGAACGCUGGCGGUAGGCCUAACACAUGCAAGUCGAACGAGUGGCGGACGGGUGAGUAAUGUAUGGGAACCUGCCCAAUAGAGGGGGAUAACUAAUGGAAACGGUGGCUAAUACCGCAUACUAUAGGAUGAACCCAAAUGGGAUUAGCUAGUUGGUGGGGUAAAGGCUCACCUAGACGACCAUCUGUAGCUGGUCUGAGAGGAUGAUCAGCCACACUGGGACUGAGACACGGCCCAGACUCCUACGGGAGGUAGCAGGGGGGAAUAUUGAACAAUGGGCGCAAGCCUGAUGCAGCCAUGCCGCGUGUAUGAAGAAGGCCUUAGGGUUGUAAAGUACUUUCAGCGGUGAGGCGGUACCCGCAGAAGAAGCACCGGCUAACUCCGUGCCAGCAGCCGCGGUAAUAC
rnacentral:rRNA from 1 species